ensembl:lncRNA
UACAGGGAUCGAUUGGACCACCUGGAUCAGAUGGAGAUAGAUGACCUCAGGGUCCCCAGGUAAGACCUCCUCUUAUUUUUUCAUGCUUUGUUAGACAAUAUUUAUACUGACAUGGACAAUACAACUGAUUAAAUCUGAUGUCUGAACAGGGUUUACAGGGAAGGCCUGGUGCACCAGGAAUCCAAGGUCCCGUUGGAAAAAGUGGUGUCAAAGGCAGAGAGGGUUCAGAGGGGCUUCACGGCAGUCCUGGAGACAAGGGGCUGAGUGGUGCUCCAGGGCAGAAGGCAGAUCCUGGAUCCCCUGGUGAAAAAGGUCAGACAGGUCUGAGAGCUUACUCGGGGUUGGUAGGAAGGUACGGUCCUGGAUGGAACAUGGGAAAAUCUGGUGGAAAAGGCGACAAAGGUCUACGUGGACUUGUUUUGGGUACCACUUCCUCUUUUGCAGCUAAUGAAGCCUAUGAAGAAAUGAAUUUAUUUUGUUUAUUUCAGUGUUCUAUGGGUAUCAUAGGGCGCUGCAGGAACAAAUGGGCCGCCAGGUCCAAAUGGUGCUAUUGGGUUACCGGUAAGUUAGGUUUGAUAUAUUUAACUUAUUGUAUAUUUUUGGAUAUACGGUUGACAUUAAUUUAUUCCAUUCAAAUUUAGGGUUUGCCAGGGAAAAAAUGAUUUGUUGGACAAAGUGGAAAAUUUGGACCAAAAGCAUGUUUUUAUUAUUAUUAUAUUUUUUUUUUACUGAUUAGACUUGACUAUUACAACAUCGUAUGAGUAAGUGCAUCUGUUGUUUUUGUCCCCUGCAGGGAGUGAGAACCUGGAGUUAAAGGGAAUCCAGGCA